UUAACACAUGCAAGUCGAACGAUGAAGCCAGCUUGUUGGUGGAUUAGUGGCGAACGGGUGAGUAACACGUGAGUAACCUGCCCUUGACUCUGGGAUAAGCCUGGGAAACUGGGUCUAAUACCGGAUAUGACUCCUCAUCGCAUGGUGGGGGGUGGAAAGCUUUUUGUGGUUUUGGAUGGACUCGCGGCCUAUCAGCUUGUUGGUGAGGUAAUGGCUCACCAAGGCGACGACGGGUAGCCGGCCUGAGAGGGUGACCGGCCACACUGGGACUGAGACACGGCCCAGACUCCUACGGGAGGCAGCAGUGGGGAAUAUUGCACAAUGGGCGAAAGCCUGAUGCAGCGACGCCGCGUGAGGGAUGACGGCCUUCGGGUUGUAAACCUCUUUCAGUACGGAAGA
rnacentral:rRNA from 1 species